rnacentral:rRNA from 1 species
GGUAAGGACGGUGCCAGCCGCCGCGGUAAUACCGGCGCCUCAAGUGGUAGUCGNUUUUAUUGGGCCUAAAACGUCCGUAGCCGGUCUGAUACAUUCGUGGGUAAAUCAACCAGCUCAACUGGUUGAAUUCUGCGAGGACGGCCAGACUUGGGACCGGGAGAGGUGGGGGGUACGCUCAGGGUAGGGGUAAAAUCCUGUCAUCCUGAACGGACCACCUGUUGCGAAGGCGCCACACUAGAACGGAUCCGACGGUCAGGGACGAAGCCUAGGGGCACGAACCGGAUUAAAUACCCGGGUAGUCCUAGGUGUAAACGCUGUGGACUUGAUGUUGGGGGUGCUCCGAGCACUCUCAGUGUCGAAGCGAAGGUGAUAAGUCCACUGCCU